rnacentral:lncRNA from 1 species
GCAGGUCCUGACGAUGGCUGUGAUCCGCCCAACUCCAGUUUAGACUUUCCUUGCAAGUCCCGACGGUGGCCGUGAUCCCCUCGACUCCAGCUUCUCCAGCAUCGAUGGAAUUCUACACCAACAAGAGCCAAGGUCUCACUAGAAGUCCAAGCAUAUCGAGCGGCGAUUCCAUCUGAUCCAUGAUUACCUCAAAAAAAGUUAUGUCGAGGUUAAGAGAGUC